rnacentral:sRNA from 1 species
UCCUAGCCCUGAUGGAAGCGGCAUCCUUUUUGUUUUUUCUUUAAAAACAAAAAGAUAUAGCGUACAGCAGGAAACAGC